UACAACUAAACCAAGUGCUAUGAAGGGAAUUCACGGAGUUUUGAUAGUCUAUGAUAGGGAAGGCUUCCCUGAGGAAGGAUAUAUUGGAGUUUAGGCAAAGAAAAAGGAAAAACAUUCUAGGCAGCAGGAACAGCAGGUACAAAGACCCCAUUGUUGGAGGGAGCAUGGCAAGAAUAAGGGACCAAAAUAAGGCCAAUAUGGCUGGAAGACAAAGAGCAAAGCAAGAAGAACAUGGCUCAAGCCAUGACUGGACAGAAGGUACGGGCCAGACUAUGUAAGACCUUGUAAGACAUGCAGAUGCCACCAGCAGGAAAGCCCUUUGAAAGAAUAAUUCUGUUGAACCUGGUGCUGUGAAAACUGAGAAAGCUGCCCAGCUGAGCAUGAAGUGAGUUGCAACAAGUAAGAGUUGGGAUACGGAAAACGGGACAGCUUCCCAGGUCCACCUGAGUUAAAUCCUCACAAUCAAGCCACAGGAUUUUAUCUGAAGUGAAUUCCCAAAGCAGUACCAAUAUUCUAAGUAAAAAACAUUGUUCUAGUUUUUGUUAUUCAGGACCUUGCUUCCCUUCAUUAGUACAAGUUCCAAAAUGUUAUAUAGUAAACAUUUCUACAAAUGAUACUGCUUAAUACACUGUGAUGUCAAAACAAUGUUCAAGACGUUUUAAAAAAUGAAUUAAAGAAAAGCAGAAGAGGUUUUUGUUUUUAAAAAAAAAAAAUCUAUCACUCACAUUAAGAAAAUUUAAGUAAUUCUCUCAGGAUUCAAUAUCCUCAGUCAGGACGGGAUUAAAUCACUUAGUCAGAAAUUACCAUUCAAAUCUGAAUAUGCCACUUUUAUUACACCUUUUCAAAUUCCACCAACUAGAGAUAUGAGAGCUUUUUUAACCCAAGAUGUAUUCUUAAUUUAUUUUUUUAAUUAGUCAAGAUGUGUCCUCACAUCACAGGACAAUGAAAAGUCAACUGGACUGUUUUCUAAAGCAGAAAAACCCUUGAUGCAAAGAUAGAAAAACUGAGCUAGUGCAAAUGUAUUGAUCCAAUCUCUAUAGAAUUUAUAAGUUUGAAAUGAACACUUUAUUCGGGAAAAUUUUCUUCUGCUAUUUGUGAAAAUCUCAUUUGUAAAGUGAACUCAGAUUAAAACAUUUUUUCUCCAAGACAAGGUAAAGAAUUAAAAGAUUUCCAAAAUUAACUCCUAUAUGUGAAAGACCUGUUUAUGAUACUUUAUGUAGAGUGGGUUUAUCAUGUGUUGCAAAUUUCCAUUAACUCACUUGAUUUAUUAGUAUAUAUAUAAAUAUAGUUUAUACUUUCAAACAAUAAAUCCGUUUCCAUUAAAAAUUCUAGCAUUCACUCUUUUACUAAGCAAAACUGGCCACUCUUUUACACUAAUUAUUUUCAAGUUUUAUAUUGGAUGACCUGGAUGAGUUUUCUUUGGGGAGAGAAAACAAAAAUAAACAAUUCUGCAGUUUUUGUCUACUUUUAAUUAAUACUAAUUUCACUGGGAGCUUCUGACAUGCUAAAAAUGUGGAUUCAUUUCUGAAAGCUCUAAAUUCUAGAUGUAUGCCAAUGACUUCAAAUUUGUUCUGUUGAGGAAACACAAAAAUUUUUAUGUUUGAAACUGUGAAAUAUAUAUACAUCAAACUCA